UUUCUUUUUUCUUCCUUUCUUGACUGAACAGGAAAAAUACGGGUGGAGGUUGAUACUCCAAUGGGAUGCGGUGACACAGCCGAAGGUCCGACAUUGACGACUGACGGUGAUAGAGCAGGAGAUGACUAGUGAAAAAUCAUGAGAAAAGGCCUAAAAAUAAGGGAUUUAUGCUUUUUUCAAUCCAUGGCUGUUCACCGAUGGCCAUGACUUUAUCGAAAAGUGUCAUAGGGAGACUAUAGGAUCCGAUCAAGAGUUCGACAUCAAGAGGCGAUUGCAUCGGGAACUAGAACAAGAGGAAAAAAGGGACCGAAAAAUAGAAGAAGUGGGUGGGAGGUCUUCUUUGGUCGAUUUUCGAUAAAGUGGGUGGCUGAUGGUGGUGCCUAAGGCUAAGAAAAGAAGGGGAAGAGAGAGAGGGGGAAG
rnacentral:lncRNA from 1 species